ACAGAGGGCGCGAGCGUUGUCCGGAAUCACUGGGCGUAAAGGGCGCGUAGGUGGCGGCGCAAGCGUGCGGUGAAAGCCCGGGGCUCAACCCCGGGUCGGCCGUGCGAACUGCGUUGCUCGAGCGUGGUAGAGGCGGGUGGAAUUCCGGGUGUAGCGGUGGAAUGCGUAGAGAUCCGGAAGAACACCGGUGGCGAAGGCGGCCCGCUGGGCCACGGCUGACACUGAGGCGCGACAGCGUGGGGAGCAAACAGGA
rnacentral:rRNA from 1 species